CUCAUCAACUCAUACAAAAAUAAGUUACUUUUUUACCACUUCGAUCAAACGAUUUCAUGGUAAGGGAGGGAGUUUAUCCAUUAUGUUUAUUUGAUGCAAUUUACUGCCUUAUUUCCAAGUAUAAGGUUGUAUCUUAUUUUAAAACGUGAUAUAUUGUAAUUGGGUGUGAUUGGUUGUAAUCAGCUGGUAGCUGUCUUUAACUCGGGACUACGAAAUUUCCUUGCAAUGUUGUAAGACUGUUGAAUUUGUCUCCGUCUAAUCAAAACAGAAGCUUAAUAUUCACUGAAAGCGAAGGCAUAACCAUGUCUUGUCACUACCAAAAUUGAUCGAGUUCCUUAGAAUGAUGUCGGAAUGCCCAUGUACUUAAUGUCUAAGCUCUUUGUGAUUCCGUGGCCUAUGUGUAUUGUAGUGUUUUGUUAGUUUCUUCCCGUUUUUUCUACUUUCCUCGAUGCACUAAAACGCAGAGUGAAUAUAAUUUCUUGUGAUCUUUUGAAUAAACACUGACAACCUCCCGUAUUUCAUCGAUUAGUGUUCUAAAACAAAUAGUGACUGUUUCCAUAUGACCAUCUUUCUAUUUAAACACUUGUGUAAUCAUAACGAGAACCAAAUCACACAUUUCAUAGUUAUUUCUUCACAGAACUUUUCAGUUGCAACGAAAUCGGCAUCAUGGCAACUGGGAUAGCCAGGAACAAACCACUGAGUGACAAGCAAAGGAAGAUUUUAAAUCGAGUAAAACGUGAUCUUUUAAAAGAUAUGAAUCCAGACGAAGUUUUACCAAAAAUGGCAGCUGAUAAUGUAUUUACCCAAUCUGAAGAAGAGAAAAUAAAAGCGAAACCAACACGAUGGGGACAAUGUGAGGAGUUGCUAGAGAUUUUACCAAGGAAGGGUACGAAAGCCUACCAAAUCUUCAGGAAAGUACUCCGAUCGGUUCACCUACACCUUGCAAACUUAAUUUUGGAAUACGGUAAGUGUUUUGGCGACAACGAAAAUCAAUUAGCGUGAAAGGAGAGCUGUAUGAUUACACCUAACUGAAAUUUUGGAACGAUGUCCUAGCUACAAUUCAUCGAGAUGGAGAUACGAAGCCAGUUUUUGGGAAGCGAGGGCCCAACACCUAUAAAGCCUUUAUUCUUUUUUCAGAGUUAGGAAGCUACUUUGCAAUUGCAGCAUAAACUCAUUACGCUACUUUCUCUUUAGUUAACUUAAACUUUUCUAUGGUUCAUACUUCAUUGCCGCGUUCCCUUCUUUCAUCUCAGAUAACACGAGACUGGGAAGGGGUGAAAACUCAGAGCAAGCCGCUGACAGGACAAGACGGACACCUGACUCAACUGAAAACGAAGAUCUGAGGGAAGAGGUCGUUAAUGUUAAACGAUGCAUGGCAAUACAGGAAGACGCAGGAACCUGUUGGCUGGACCUUGGAGUAGUUCUUGAGCUACCAGAAGGCGAACUUCACAAUAUAGGCAAAGAUUAUAAAUAUGCUAAAGAAAAAGGACUUGCUGUACUUAGAUCAUGUAGAAAUAAGAGAGCGAGUAAAGCAACUGUAGGAUGCCUUUUCGACGCAUUUAAAAGCAUUGGUCAAAGAAGAAUUGCAGAAAAUUUCUUAGAGUUAUGUCGAGCCAAACGGUAGGAAAAUUCCGGGCUGUGAGGAAGUUAGAAACCAAGUAUAGAGCUCAAAGAAUUCGAAGAAAGAAAUGUUUCUACGAAUGAAAAACUGCUAGAAUGCGAAGUCAAGCGU